rnacentral:rRNA from 1 species
UCUCUCUGAAUCUGCGAACGGCUCCGCAUACCAGUUGUAAACCAUAGCGAGCAAACCGUGACGACGUCGCAAGGCGUCGUCGCGGUUAAUAAGGAUAACCCUGGUAAUUCUGAGGCUAAUACAAGAACGUACAACCCGUCCGACCCGCAAGGGGAGGGGGGGGAAUGUGUGACCAGGCACGCAAAUUCGAAACUGGGAGUGGCCACACGUUCAGACCGCCAUACCAAACAGUUGUUCGCUUCGAAAGUCCUCGUGACGAGUAACGGCGGGUUUCUGGGCGGCUCUCGCUGUGUGCUUCUGACCUAUCAACUAGAUGGCAGCGUAACGGACAUGCUAUGGUGACAACGGGUACAGAGGAUAAGGGUUCGAUCCUGGAGAGUGGGCCUGAGAGAUU